ACAGCAGCAGCCACGGUAAUACGAAGGGUGCAAGCGUUACUCGGAAUUACUGGGCGUAAAGCGUGCGUAGGUGGUGGUUUAAGUCCGUUGUGAAAGCCCUGGGCUCAACCUGGGAAUUGCAGUGGAUACUGGGUCACUAGAGUGUGGUAGAGGAUAGCGGAAUUUCCGGUGUAGCAGUGAAAUGCGUAGAGAUCGGAAGGAACAUCUGUGGCGAAGGCGACUAUCUGGGCCAACACUGACACUGAGGCACGAAAGCGUGGGGAGCAAACAGGAUUAGAUACCCCAGUAGUCCCUGUCUCUUAUAC
rnacentral:rRNA from 1 species